AUGAGUCUCCUUAGCUGGAACUGCCGGGGUCUGGGGCAACCCCGGACAGUUCAGGAGCUCGUGUGCUUGGUGCACACUCAUCGCCCAAAGAUUGUCUUCUUGUCCGAGACGCGGCAAUGUGAAGAGAAGGUGAAAGGAAUCAAGUGGAGACUGGGUCUGAAGCACUGCCUUUCUCAUGAUGGUAAGGGUAAGGGUGCGGGCAUUGCCUUGUACUGGGAU
rnacentral:rRNA from 1 species